UACGUAGGGUGCAAGGCGUUAAUCGGAAUUACUGGGCGUAAAGCGUGCGCAGGCGGUUUUGUAAGUCUGUUGUGAAAUCCCCGGGCUCAACCUGGGAAUGGCAAUGGAGACUGCAAGGCUAGAGUUUGGCAGAGGGGGGUAGAAUUCCACGUGUAGCAGUGAAAUGCGUAGAUAUGUGGAGGAACACCGAUGGCGAAGGCAGCCCCCUGGGUCAAAACUGACGCUCAUGCACGAAAGCGUGGGGAGCAAACAGG
rnacentral:rRNA from 1 species